GAUGAACGCUGGCGGCGUGCCUAAUACAUGCAAGUCGAGCGAACGGACGGGAAGCUUGCUUCUCUGAUGUUAGCGGCGGACGGGUGAGUAACACGUGGAUAACCUACCUAUAAGACUGGGAUAACUUCGGGAAACCGGAGCUAAUACCGGAUGAUAUUUUGAACCGCAUGGUUCAAAAGUGAAAGACGGUCUUGCUGUCACUUAUAGAUGGAUCCGCGCUGCAUUAGCUAGUUGGUAAGGUAACGGCUUACCAAGGCAACGAUGCAUAGCCGACCUGAGAGGGUGAUCGGCCACACUGGAACUGAGACACGGUCCAGACUCCUACGGGAGGCAGCAGUAGGGAAUCUUCCGCAAUGGGCGAAAGCCUGACGGAGCAACGCCGCGUGAGUGAUGAGGGUCUUCGGAUCGUAAAACUCUGUUAUUAGGGAAGAACAUAUGUGUAAGUAACUGUGCACAUCUUGACGGUACCUAAUCAGAAAGCCACGGCUAACUACGUG
rnacentral:rRNA from 1 species